UUUACUUUUUUAUAAUUUUUCUGUACACUGGCUAGUAGCUCUUUUAAACUUUAGAUUUCUAACUUUUUGCAUGCCGGGCGCUUCCUUUUUUUUUUAAGCUUACGUUACUAGUUCCUUCGGUGGCGACUAUAAUGAAGGGCUGCCAAUAAUAUAUCUUAUCUGGAGUAUAUACUAAGGAAUAGUACUAUCAAGUGUGUUACUGCAGGUAUGAAGGAGUCAGUUUGCGGAAAUAAAUAAUUAACUCCCGUCACUCCACAGUGAGUAUGAUGUGCGAGGUGGUUCAUUGGUACAUCAUGCAGGGUUAUUUUAAAUAGACCAUACCGUUUCUGAAUUUAAUAAGGGGAUUUCUUGCGCAGUUCACUUGCCGUUUUUGGAGGUGGCCUGUGCUUCUCUACUUCUUACUACGGAUUAGCUAUAAAUAUCGUACUUAUUUGAAUAGUUGUUUUUGGAACGAAAACUUUAAUUCCUACUCUUAAUAUAUACUAAGCCUAAAUUAACAAUACGUUUGUUAUAGACUGCGAAUUUUUUGAUUAUUUC